rnacentral:rRNA from 1 species
CAGUAGCCGCGGGAAUACGUAGGGUGCAAGCGUUAAUCGGAAUUACUGGGCGUAAGGCGUGCGCAGGCGGUUAUAUAAGUCAGAUGUGGAAUCCCCGGGCUCAACCUGGGAACUGCAUUUGAGACUGUAUGGCUAGAGUGUGUCAGAGGGGGGUAGAAUUCCACGUGUAGCAGUGAAAUGCGUAGAUAUGUGGAGGAAUACCGAUGGCGAAGGCAGCCCCCUGGGAUAACACUGACGCUCAUGCACGAAAGCGUGGGGAGCAAACAGGAUUAGAUACCCCAGUAGUCCCUGUCUCUUAUAC